rnacentral:rRNA from 1 species
AGCGAACGCUGGCGGCGUACUUAACACAUGCAAGUCGAACGGGGAUCAUCGGGUUAGCAAUAACUCGGUGGUCCUAGUGGCGCACGGGUGAGUAACACGUGGGUAACCUGCCCUGGAGACCGGGAUACUCCCUCGAAAGGGGGGCGUAAUACCGGAUACGUUCCCUGGAUCGAGAGGUCUGGGGAGGAAAGGUGGCGAAAGCUGCCGCUCUUGGAGGGGCUCGCGGCCUAUCAGCUAGUUGGCGGGGUAACGGCCCACCAGGGCUAUGACGGGUAGCUGGUCUGAGAGGACGACCAGCCACACGGGGACUGAGACACGGCCCCGACUCCUACGGGAGGCAGCAGUGGGGAAUAUUGGACAAUGGGCGAAAGCCUGAUCCAGCGAUGCCGCGUGUGUGAAGAAGGCCUGCGGGUUGUAAAGCACUUUCAGUAGGGAAGAAAUGCUUGGAGCUAACACCGCCAAGUUUUGACGUUACCUACAGAAGAAGCACCGGCUAAC